GACGAACGCUGGCGGCGUGCUUAACACAUGCAAGUCGAACGGUGAAGCGCCUUCCUUUUUGGUGGGUGUGGAUGAGUGGCGAACGGGUGAGUAACACGUGAGUAACCUGCCCCCUUCUUCUGGAUAACCGCAUGAAAGUGUGGCUAAUACGGGAUAUUCUGGGUCUGUCGCAUGAUGGGUCUGGGAAAGAUAUUGUUUCGGUGGGGGAUGGGCUCGCGGACUAUCAGCUUGUUGGUGGGGUGAUGGCCUACCAAGGCGGUGACGGGUAGCCGGCCUGAGAGGGUGGACGGUCACACUGGGACUGAGCCACGGCCCAGACUCCUACGGGAGGCAGCAGUGGGGAAUAUUGCACAAUGGGAGCAAGGCUGAUGCAGCGCCGCCGCGUGAGGGAUGGAGGCCUGCGGGUUGUGAACCUCUUUCGCCAGUGAAGCAGGCCUGCCUCGUUUGUGGGUGGGUUGACGGUAGCUGGAUAAGAAGCGCCGGCUAACUACGUG
rnacentral:rRNA from 1 species